CCUGAGUCGAGGGGAAAGCCAAAGAGCUGCCAAAAGAUCUACGGGAAAAGCCCCUCUGUAACAGGUUGCUGAGGGCUUGAUGUCUUAGCAAGACCCUGGAACUUAAGAGGAAUGUUGGAUGGAAUAAAGAAAGCAAAAAGGCUGAUGCUGAUUGAAUUUGGAUACGUCUGUCACAGCCAGACUUGUGAAGAUGAAUUGUGCGAGCAGCCUUACCCUGGUCUUUUACAAGUCUACGUGGAGUCCAGAGGCCAGAACACAUUCAAUCAUUUUCCAUUAAAGCAAAGGCAAUAUUACUGCUGGAGGAGAGAGAACAAACUUCAAGCCGUGCAGGUGGUGAUUAAACCAAACCUGGGAGCAUGUUCUGCUUGCUGAAGAGCUUUGUACUUGUUACGUUAUGUAAAAAGGAAAAAGAAGUGAUUAAAAACCUCACCAGCAAAAUACUGCUUUGUCAGGAAACUACAGCACAAAGUUUGACCUACAAGCAUCUAAAUUACCAGCUCCUGUGUAUCGCAGAAUGCUUGCACGCGGCAGUUCACCUGAAUGGCUCACUCUGCAUGCGUGUUGUUAGUGUUUUAGCCUGUCUCCCACCCCCUUGCAUUAUGUUUGUUAGAGAACUGCGGUUGCUAUGGAUGCAGAGCGGCGACGGAAGUUAAGCGCUGUGCGCGCUGGGUGAUGACGUCAAUAUAUACAUAGUGAGUUGCCCUGUUCGCGCCAAGUCCUGGUCUGUACUGGAAGCUGUGAGGAUAAAAGGCAGAGAGUUCGCACGUUUCGGGCUGUAAUGAAUGCUGUGUGCAAGAGGAAAUAAAGAGGCUCUCAGCCCUGUUCAAGAA